rnacentral:lncRNA from 1 species
CCUGCCUACACAGGGAGGAACAAGCUUCAGAGCAGAGGGCUAGACAUGCAGGGAGGGAUUUUAAUCCCGCAAAGGAAUACAGCAGAGCUGUACAAAAGCUGAUACGGCGAGAGCUCCUGGGUUGGCGUGUAUGUCUGUCUUCAGAAGAGGAAGAUAAAGAAAAUGGUGAGAAACACUUGGAAUCCUGCUUUUUCCCUUGAAGUGCCUUGAAUUUUUCCCUUGAUUUUUUUUUUCUGUGCUGAAAUUUGUCAGCAUUAAAACAGAGGGAAGAUUUUUUUUUUUCCAGAGGAAUCCAGCACAAACUGAGAAAUCCCAC